rnacentral:rRNA from 1 species
CAGCCGCCACGGUAAAACGUAGGGUGCGUGCGUUAAUCGGAAUUACUGGGCGUAAAGCGUGCGCAGGCGGUUUUGUAAGACAGGCGUGAAAUCCCCGGGCUCAACCUGGGAAUGGCGCUUGUGACUGCAAAGCUAGAGUGCGGCAGAGGGGGAUGGAAUUCCGCGUGUAGCAGUGAAAUGCGUAGAUAUGCGGAGGAACACCGAUGGCGAAGGCAAUCCCCUGGGCCUGCACUGACGCUCAUGCACGAAAGCGUGGGGAGCAAACAGGAUUAGAUACCCGCGUAGUCCCUGUCUCUUAUAC